GGUUUCCGUAGGUGAACCUGCGGAAGGAUCAUUGUCGAAACCUGCAAAGCAGAAAGACCAGCGAACCCGUUACAACUCUUGGGGGCGAGGUGCGCGCCGCGCCCGGACCCCCAAUGCCGAUGGCGUGUGGCCCUGCCUCGCGUCUUCGGCCUCAAACGAACCCCGGCGCGGAAUGCGUCAAGGAAACACAACAUAACGAGCUUCCACUGCGGCCCCGGAGACGGUGCUUGCCGCGGUGGCUGUGUCGUGCUUUGUUUAAGUCUAUAACGACUCUCGGCAACGGAUAUCUCGGCUCUCGCAUCGAUGAAGAACGUAGCGAAAUGCGAUACUUGGUGUGAAUUGCAGAAUCCCGUGAACCAUCGAGUCUUUGAACGCAAGUUGCGCCCGAAGCCUUCGGGCCGAGGGCACGUCUGCCUGGGCGUCACACACCGUUGCCCCCCAAUCCCUUCGCCACUCUUCCCUGAGUGCUUGGGGAGUGUGGGGGGCGGAUGAUGGCCUCCCGUGCGUCCUGACUCGCGGUUGGCCCAAAAUUGAGUCCUCGGUCACGGCUGCCGUGGCAACAGGUGGUUGUCGGUCACUCCGUGCCCCGUCACGCGCGCCGGACACGAACCGAGACUCUUGCAUACCCCAGUGCAUCCUGUUUGGGUGCUUCCAACGCGACCCCAGGUCAGGCGGGGCUACCCGC
rnacentral:rRNA from 1 species